rnacentral:rRNA from 1 species
CAACGCUGGCGGCGUGCCUAACACAUGCAAGUCGAACAAGAAAGGGACUUCGGUCCUGAGUACAGUGGCGCACGGGUGAGUAACACGUGACUAACCUACCCUCGAGUGGGGAAUAACUUCGGGAAACCGAGGCUAAUACCGCAUAAUACCCACGGGUCAAAGGAGCAAUUCGCUUGAGGAGGGGGUCGCGGCCGAUUAGCUAGUUGGCGGGGUAAUGGCCCACCAAGGCAGUGAUCGGCAUCCGGCCUGAGAGGGCGCACGGACACACUGGAACUGAAACACGGUCCAGACUCCUACGGGAGGCAGCAGUGGGGAAUUUUGCGCAAUGGGGGAAACCCUGACGCAGCAACGCCGCGUGGAGGAUGAAGUCUCUUGGGACGUAAACUCCUUUCGAUCGGAACGAUUAUGACGGUACCGGAAGAAGAAGCCCCGGCUAACUUCGUGCCAGCAGCCGCGGUAAUACGAGGGGGGCGAGCGUUGUUCGGAAUUAUUGGGCGUAAAGGGUGCGUAGGCGGUUCGGUAAGUUUGAUGUGAAAUCUUCGGGCUCAACUCGAAGUCUGCAUCGAAAACUGCCGGGCUUGAGUGUGGGAGAGGUGAGUGGAAUUUCCGGUGUAGCGGUGAAAUGCGUAGAUAUCGGAAGGAACACCUGUGGCGAAAGCGGCUCACUGGACCACAACUGACGCUGAUGCACGAAAGCUAGGGGAGCAAACAGGAUUAGAUACCCUGGUAGUCCUAGCCCUAAAUCGUGAGAUGUUGGGUUAAGUCCCGCAACGAGCGCAACCCUUAUUGCCAGUUGCUACCAUUUAGUUGAGCACUCUGGUGAGACCGCCUCGGAUAACGGGGAGGAAGGUGGGGAUGACGUCAAGUCCUCAUGGCCUUUAUGUCCAGGGCUACACACGUGCUACAAUGGCCGGUACAAACCGCCGCAAACCCGCGAGGGGGAGCUAAUCGGAAAAAGCCGGCCUCAGUUCGGAUUGUAGUCUGCAACUCGAUUACAUGAAGCUGGAAUCGCUAGUAAUCGCGGAUCAGCAUGCCGCGGUGAAUACGUUCCCGGGCCUUGUACACACCGCCCGUCACAUCACGAAAGUGGGUCGUACUAGAAGCGGGUGAGCCAACCGUAAGGAGGCAGCCUUCCAAGGUGUGAUUCAUGAUUGGGGUGAAGUCGUAACAAGGUAGCCGUA